GGUUGGUUAGCUCAGUUGGUUAGAGCGUCGUAUGUUGCCCUCAAUAUUCCUUUGCUAAAUUGACUAUGAAAACUAACAUCCCACAGGUACUAAUAAUGCGAAGGUCAUGAGUUCGACCCUCAUACUGACCA
rnacentral:tRNA from 1 species